GACGAACGCUGGCGGCGUGCUUAACACAUGCAAGUCGAACGGAAAGGCCCUGCUUUUGUGGGGUGCUCGAGUGGCGAACGGGUGAGUAACACGUGAGUAACCUGCCCUUGACUUUGGGAUAACUUCAGGAGAAUGGGGCUAAUACCGGAUAGGAGCUCCUGCUGCAUGGGGGGGGUUGGAAAGUUUCGGCGGUUGGGGAUGGACUCGCGGCUUAUCCGCUUGUUGGGGGGGUAGUGGCUUACAAAGGCUUUGACGGGUAGCCGGCCUGAGAGGGUGACCGGGCACAUGGGGACUGAGAGACGGACCAGAAUCGUACGGGAGGCAGCAGUGGGGAAUAUGGCACAAUGGGCGGGCGCCUGAUGCAGCAACGCCGCGUGCGGGAUGACGGCCUUCGGGUUGUAAACAGAUGUCGCAGGUGACGAAGCGUGAGUGACGGUAAUUGGUAAAGAAGCACCGGCUAACUACGUG
rnacentral:rRNA from 1 species